GACGAACGCUGGCGGCGUGCCUAAUACAUGCAAGUUGAGCGCUGAAGGUUGGUACUUGUACCAACUGGAUGAGCAGCGCACGGGUGAGUAACGCGUGGGGAAUCUGCCUUUGAGCGGGGGACAACAUUUGGAAACGAAUGCUAAUACCGCAUAAAAACUUUAAACACAAGUUUUAAGUUUGAAAGAUGCAAUUGCAUCACUCAAAGAUGAUCCCGCGUUGUAUUAGCUAGUUGGUGAGGUAAAGGCUCACCAAGGCGAUGAUACAUAGCCGACCUGAGAGGGUGACCGGCCACAUUGGGACUGAGACACGGCCCAAACUCCUACGGGAGGCAGCAGUAGGGAAUGUUCGGCAAUGGGCGAAAGUCUGACCGAGCAACGCCGCGUGAGUGAAGAAGGUUUUCGGGUUGUAAAACUCUGUUGGUAGGGAAGAAAGUUGGUGAGAGUGGAAAGCUCAUCAAGUGACGGUACCUAACCAGAAAGGGACGGCUAACUACGUG
rnacentral:rRNA from 1 species